UCUUAUGAUGAUACAUUUGUUCAGUUCUGCUGCUGAAUGGAAAAUGAUGUAAAGUGGUUUUUAUCUGAAGAA